rnacentral:rRNA from 1 species
GAAUUAUUGGGCGUAAAAGGGCUCGCAGGCGGUUUCUUAAGUCUGAUGUGAAAGCCCCCGGCUCAACCGGGGAGGGUCAUUGGAAACUGGGGAACUUGAGUGCAGAAGAGGAGAGUGGAAUUCCACGUGUAGCGGUGAAAUGCGUAGAGAUGUGGAGGAACACCAGUGGCGAAGGCGACUCUCUGGUCUGUAACUGACGCUGAGGAGCGAAAGCGUGGGGAGCGAACAGGAUUAGAUACCCUGGUAGUCCACGCCGUAAACGAUGAGUGCUAAGUGUUAGGGGGUUUCCGCCCCUUAGUGCUGCAGCUAACGCAUUAAGCACUCCGCCUGGGGAGUACGGUCGCAAGACUGAAACUCAAAGGAAUUGACGGGGGCCCGCACAAGCGGUGGAGCAUGUGGUUUAAUUCGAAGCAACGCGAAGAACCUUACCAGGUCUUGACAUCCUCUGACAAUCCUAGAGAUAGGACGUCCCCUUCGGGGGCAGAGUGACAGGUGGUGCAUGGUUGUCGUCAGCUCGUGUCGUGAGAUGUUGGGUUAAGUCCCGCAACGAGCGCAACCCUUGAUCUUAGUUGCCAGCAUUCAGUUGGGCACUCUAAGGUGACUGCCGGUGACAAACCGGAGGAAGGUGGGGAUGACGUCAAAUCAUCAUGCCCCUUAUGACCUGGGCUACACACGUGCUACAAUGGACAGAACAAAGGGCAGCGAAACCGCGAGGUUAAGCCAAUCCCACAAAUCUGUUCUCAGUUCGGAUCGCAGUCUGCAACUCGACUGCGUGAAGCUGGAAUCGCUAGUAAUCG